UUUAAUAUUGAUCGAUUGAACAGCGAACCAACUCGACCAGUGCGACAACGCCUUAAAUAAACAGAAUUUGAGGGCUGGAACGAGCUAGUAACGCCAACCCACACUUUUAAACCUCAACGUUGAUUGGCUGGAUACAAAUCACACCACUUGCUACAUCACGUGUACAAAGAUCCCACAACCGUUAGUAUAAAAGGGCGUGCACAACCCAAAUUCGUCAGUGGACUCAACGAAGUAAAAAUUAUCUAUGAAAAGUUGUCGUAACAGUGUAUGAUCUCAGUGGAUUCUCAGUGGACAGUGGACUGAUCAAUAAAGUGAAGCAAAGUGAAGACUGAUGAGUAAA